CCUACGGGAGGCAGCAGUGAGGAAUAUUGGUCAAUGGACGAGAGUCUGAACCAGCCAAGUAGCGUGAAGGAAGACUGCCCUAUGGGUUGUAAACUUCUUUUAUAAGGGAAUAAAACGAGGCACGCGUGCCUUUUUGCGUGUACUUUAUGAAUAAGGAUCGGCUAACUCCGUGCCAGCAGCCGCGGUAAUCCGGAGGAUCCGAGCGUUAUCCGGAUUUAUUGGGUUUAAAGGGAGCGUAGGGGGGGUGUUAAGUCAGCUGUGAAAUUUUGCGGCUCAACCGUAAAAGUGCAAUUGAUACUGGCAGUCUUGAGUACAGUUGAGGUAGGCGGAAUUCGUGGUGUAGCGGUGAAAUGCAUAGAUAUCACGAAGAACCCCGAUUGCGAAGGCAGCUUACUAAACUGUAACUGACACUGAUGCACGAAAGUGUGGGUAUCAAACAGGAUUAGAUACCCGAGUAGUC
rnacentral:rRNA from 1 species